AUGCUUUUAUCCGGUGGUUCUCAUGAAGAUUCUAACGGAGCUUCUAGUUCGUCUCUCAUCACUCGUCUUCUUCUCCGGUGGAACCAAUUCAAGUUGUUGGUGUUGAUCAUAUCCCUUUUUCCCUCGUUUCUAAUGCCUUCUCAUACCGGUGUACCUCAUAACAAUUCACUUCUCACUAUUCAUUUGUUCCGGCGUGCUCAGAGCUUUCUCAAAAGGCUCGUCUUGUCAUUCAAGAUCUGUUCAACCUAUUUCGAGGUUGUUAUCCCAUUCAAGCCAUUUAAUUCAACCGGUGCAAUCUCUCCUUCAAAUCGUUCAACGGUGUUUCUUUGA
rnacentral:rRNA from 1 species